rnacentral:rRNA from 1 species
AUUGAACGCUGGCGGCAGGCCUAACACAUGCAAGUCGAGCGAGCGGCGGACGGGUGAGUAAUGUAUGGGGACUGCCCGAUAGAGGGGGAUAACUACUGGAAACGGUAGCUAAUACCGCAUACUAUCGGAUAACCCAUAGGGGAUUAGCUAGUAGGUGAGGUAAUGGCUCACCUAGGCGACGAUCCCUAGCUGGAUGGAGGGGAUGUUCAGCCACACUGGAACUGAGACACGGCCCAAAUCCCUACGGGGGCAGCAGUGGGGAAUAUUGCACAAUGGGCGCAAGCCUGAGACAGCCAUGCCGCGUGUAUGAAGAAGGCCCUAGGGUUGUAAAGUACUUUCAGUCUGGAGGCGUUACCGACAGAAGAAGCACCGGCUAACUCCGUGCCAGCCGCCGCGGUAAUAC